AACGCGAAGAACCUUACCUGGGCUCGAAAUGCUAUGGACCGGGGUAGAAAUAUCCCCUCCCCGCAAGGGGCCGUAGUAUAGGUGCUGCAUGGCUGUCGUCAGCUCGUGUCGUGAGAUGUUGGGUUAAGUCCCGCAACGAGCGCAACCCUUGCCGUGUGUUGGUCGAAAGAUCUCUCACGCGGGACCGCCGGUGACAAGCCGGAGGAAGGUGGGGAUGACGUCAAGUCAGCAUGGCCCUUACGUCCCGGGCUACACACGUGCUACAAUGGAAGGGACAACGAGUCGCGAACCCGCGAGGGCAAGCUAAGUCUCACAAACCCUUUCUCAGUUCGGAUUGAAGGCUGCAACUCGCCUUCAUGAAGUCGGAAUCGCUAGUAACCGUAGAUCAGCUACGCUGCGGUGAAUACGUUCCCGGGCCUUGUACACACCCGAUAGC
rnacentral:rRNA from 1 species